rnacentral:rRNA from 1 species
AGAAUCAACGCUGGCGGCGUGCCUAACACAUGCAAGUCGCACGAGAAAGGGACUUCGGUCCUGAGUAAAGUGGCGCACGGGUGAGUAACACGUGAAUCAUCUACCUCCGAGUGGGGAAUAACCUAGAGAAAUCUGGGCUAAUACCGCAUAACACUUACGAGUCAAAGCAGCAAUGCGCUUGGAGAGGAGUUCGCGGCAGAUUAGUUAGUUGGCGGGGUAAUGGCCCACCAAGACGAUGAUCUGUAUCCGGCCUGAGAGGGCGCACGGACACACUGGAACUGAAACACGGUCCAGACUCCUACGGGAGGCAGCAGUGGGGAAUUUUGCGCAAUGGGGGAAACCCUGACGCAGCAACGCCGCGUGGAGGAUGAAAUAUCUUGGUAUGUAAACUCCUUUCGAUGGGGAAGAUAAUGACGGUACCAUAGAAGAAGCCCGGCUAACUUCGCGCCAGCAGCCGC